rnacentral:rRNA from 1 species
AGUGAACGCUGGCGGCGUGCCUAAUACAUGCAAGUCGAACGAUGAAGUCCUAGCUUGCUUGGAUGGAUUAGUGGCGCACGGGUGAGUAAUAUAUAGUUAAUCUGCCCUACACAGAGGAACAACAGUUGGAAACGACUGCUAAUACCUCAUACUCCUAUUUGACAUAAGUUAAAUAGGGAAAGUCUUUUCGGUGUAGGAUGAGACUAUAUCGUAUCAGCUAGUUGGUAAGGUAAUGGCUUACCAAGGCUAUGACGCGUAACUGGUCUGAGAGGAUGAUCAGUCACAUUGGAACUGAGACACGGUCCAAACUCCUACGGGAGGCAGCAGUAAGGAAUAUUGCGCAAUGGGGGAAACCCUGACGCAGCAACGCCGCGUGGAGGAUGACACUUUUCGGAGCGUAAACUCCUUUUAUCAGGAAAGAAUAAUGACGGUACCUGAUGAAUAAGCACCGGCUAACUCCGUG